CACUAGAUGACUGAAAGCAAGUAAUGGUCUCUUAAACCAAAAGAUAGUAAGUAGCAUCUACUUCUAGUGA
rnacentral:tRNA from 1 species